CAAAAACCUACGGGUAAUAAUCUUUAUAUCUUCUACUGUGAGCAUAAUGGAGGUUGACAUUGUGAAGUUUAAGGAAAUACGUGAAAGGUGAAAAGUAAUUUAAAAUAAGGCAUUCAGGAAGCAAGUACCUUUUCAAAUACUAUUAGUAGGAAGCAAGUUGAAAAUGGUAAGACAUAAUACAUUUAUUUACUAUUUUACCUCAUCUUUUUUCAAAAGUAUAGGGCAAUAGGCAGGUGAUAUUUUGACGCUAUUGAUGAAAAUAAAC
rnacentral:lncRNA from 1 species